rnacentral:lncRNA from 1 species
GGUUUGGUACUCCGGGAUUAUGUGAUAAUAAAUGAUUUGUUCCGGUGCACCGGGUUCGCUUAAUUGAUCGGUGGUUAACUUAGCCAUGGCUUCAUCGUUGGGUGCUAAUACAGUUAAAACGUAACCCUCGGAAACUAACCGACCCAUUUCAGUGGCUAAUGAUGUUAAAUUCACUAAUAUAUCAGCCAUUUCAUUGUACCCACCAUAUUGAAUUAGUGUUUGAAUGAAAUCUUUGACUUGCCUCAUUCCGUUGAAAUGAUGGUGAGGUCCACCGGGUCCUGGAGCUGGUGCCGGGGCUAGU